rnacentral:rRNA from 1 species
GAUGAACGCUGGCGGCGUGCAUAACACAUUCAAGUCGAACGGUGACGAGGACUUCGGUCCUCUGAUCAGUGGCGGACGGGUGAGUAACGCGUGAGCAACCUGCCCUAUAUUGCGGGAUAACAACCGGAAACAGUUGCUAAUACCGCAUGACGUAUUCGGAUCGCAUGUUCUGAAUACCAAAGAAUUUUGAUAUAGGAUGGGCUCGCGUCCGAUUAGGCAGUUGGUGGGGUAACGGCCCACCAAACCGACGAUCGGUAGCCGAACUGAGAGGUUGAACGGCCGAAGUGGAGCUGAGAUACGGUCCAGACUCCUACGGGAGGCAGCAGUGGGGAAUAUUGGGCAAUGGGCGAAAGCCUGACCCAGCGACGCCGCGUGAGGGAAGACGGUCUUCGGAUUGUAAACCUCUUUCAGCAGGGAAGAAGCAAGUGACGGUACCUGCAGAAGAAGUCACGGCUAACUACGUGCCAGCCGCCGCCGUAAAAC